rnacentral:rRNA from 1 species
AAAAAAAAAUGAGGAAUACAUCGGAAUCUACUUUUUCGUGGGGGAUAACGUAGGGAAACUUACGCUAAUACCGCAUACGACCUCCGGGUGAAAGCAGGGGAUCUUCGGACCUUGCGCGAUUGAAUGCGCCGAUGUCGGAUUAGCUAGUUGGCGGGGUAACGGCCCCCCAAGGCGACGAUCCGUAGCUGGUCUGAGAGGAUGAUCAGCCACACGGGAACUGAGACACGGGCAAGACUCCUACGGGAGGAAGAAGUGGGGAAUAUUGGACAAUGGGCGCAAGCCGGAUCCAGCCAUACCGCGUGGGUGAAGAAGGCCUUCUUGUUUUAUAG